rnacentral:rRNA from 1 species
AUGGGAACGCGAAGAACCUUACCUACUCUUGACAUCCAGAGAACUUUCCAGAGAUGGAUUGGUGCCUUCGGGAACUCUGAGACAGGUGCUGCAUGGCUGUCGUCAGCUCGUGUUGUGAAAUGUUGGGUUAAAGUCCCGCAACGAGCGCAACCCUUAUCCUUUGUUGCCAGCGGUCCGGCCGGGAACUCAAAGGAGACUGCCAGUGAUAAACUGGAGGAAGGUGGGGGAUGACGUCAAGUCAUCAUGGCCCUUACGACCAGGGCUACACACGUGCUACAAUGGCAUAUACAAAGAGAAGCGACCUCGCGAGAGCAAGCGGACCUCAUAAAGUGCGUCGUAGUCCGGAUUGGAGUCUGCAACUCGACUCCAUGAAGUCGGAAUCGCUAGUAAUCGUAGAUCAGAAUGCUACGGUGAAUACGUUCCCGGGUCUUG